GUUGCCUGUCUGGCUUCAGCAGUUAACCAGUAUUCCAGGCCUUUCAAGUUUGCAUCUCUUAGGAGGAGAAAUGGAUGACCCAAGUAAGGCCUCUCCAACUGCUACUGGAAUAUAUGGGCCAGGGAGGCAGAUAUUACUACUAAGGAAGAGACACCUUGGAUGGUCCGGAUCAGCAUCUUUUUGGAGCUAGGCACAACAUUUCCAUCAAAACCUAACUGCAGCACAAAACGACUUUUAGAUCAAAAUGAAAAAUUUUGAUCAGAACUUAUUUCAAUGAUUACUCUAUAAACCAUUUUGUUUUGAUGAGGAAAAAAUACUGUCUCUUACUUUUUGACAUGGCCCCCUUUUCACAGCGAACAAAAAAGUUAAAAGUACAAGAAAGUUUUCACCCACCAAACCAAAACACCAUUAUUUCAGUUUGUAAGUCAAUUAAAAAGAAACAAUUAAACAAAGUGAAAACUG